UACGUAGGGUGCAAGCGUUGUCCGGAAUUAUUGGGCGUAAAGAGCUCGUAGGCGGUUUGUCGCGUCUGCUGUGAAAACGCGAGGCUCAACCUCGCGCCUGCAGUGGGUACGGGCAGACUAGAGUGCGGUAGGGGAGAUUGGAAUUCCUGGUGUAGCGGUGGAAUGCGCAGAUAUCGGGAGGAACACCCGUAGCGAAGGCGGCACUCUGGGCCGGAACUGACGCUGAGGAGCGAAAGCGUGGGGAGCAAACAGG
rnacentral:rRNA from 1 species